rnacentral:rRNA from 1 species
GACGAACGCUGGCGGCGUGCUUAACACAUGCAAGUCGAACGGUAAGGCCCUUCGGGGUACACGAGUGGCGAACGGGUGAGUAACACGUGGGUGAUCUGCCCUGCACUUCGGGAUAAGCCUGGGAAACUGGGUCUAAUACCGGAUAGGACCCUGGGAUGCAUGUCCUGGGGUGGAAAGCUUUUGCGGUGUGGGAUGGGCCCGCGGCCUAUCAGCUUGUUGGUGGGGUGAUGGCCUACCAAGGCGACGACGGGUAGCCGGCCGGAGAGGGUGACCGGCCACACUGGGACUGAGAUACGGCCCAGACUCCGACGGGAGGCAGCAGUGGGGAAUAUUGCACAAUGGGCGCAAGCCUGAUGCAGCGACGCCGCGUGAGGGAUGACGGCCUUCGGGUUGUAAACCUCUUUCAGCACCGACGAAGCGCAAGUGACGGUAGGUGCAGAAGAAGGACCGGCCAACUACGUGCCAGCAGCCGCGGUAA